rnacentral:rRNA from 1 species
AGCAGCCGCGGUAAUUCCAGCUCCAAUAGCGUAUAUUAAAGUUGUUGCAGUUAAAAGCUCGUAGUUGAAUUUCGGGGUUAGUAGGUUGGUCAUGCCUCUGGUAUGUACUGGUCUCACUGAUUCCUCCUUCCUGAUGAGCCGUAAUGCCAUUAAUUUGGUGUUGCGGGGAAUUUGGACUGUUACUUUGAAAAAAUUAGAGUGUUUAAAGCAGGCUCACGCUUGAAUACAUUAGCAUGGAAUAAUGAAAUAGGACGUUUGAUUCUAUUUUGUUGGUUUCUAGGAUCGACGUAAUGAUUAAUAGGGAUAGUUGGGGGCAUUAGUAUUCAAUUGUCAGAGGUGAAAUUCUUGGAUUUAUUGAAGACUAACUACUGCGAAAGCAUUUGCCAAGGAUGUUUUCAUUAAUCAAGAACGAAAGUUAGGGGAUCGAAGACGAUCAGAUACCGUCGUAGUCUUAACCAUAAACUAUGCCGACUAGGGAUCGGAUGAUGUUAAUUUUUUAAUGACUCAUUCGGCGCCUUAC